rnacentral:rRNA from 1 species
AUUCCAGCUCCAAUAGCGUAUAUUAAAGUUGUUGCAGUUAAAAAGCUCGUAGUUGGAUUUCUGGUCGGAUCGCCUGGCCGGCUCCGCAAGGGGUCGUGCAUGGGUGCCUUCGUCCAUCCUCAGGGGGCCAGGCGCUGGUAUUCAUUUAUCGGUGUUUGAGCGCCUGUCGUUUACUGUGAACAAAUUAGAGUGUUCAAAGCAAGGUGUACUUGAAUACAUUAGCAUGGAAUAAUAAGAUAGGACUUUGGUGGUUCUUUUUGAUAUUUUGUUGGUUUGCACGCCAAAGUAAUGAUUAAUAGGAGCAGUUGGGGGUAUUCGUAUUCAAUUGUCAGAGGUGAAAUUCUUGGAUUUAUAGAAGACGAACUACUGCGAAAGCAUUUACCAAGGAUGUUUUCAUUA